UGUCUUAUACAUGCAAGUCGAGCGAGGCAGCAAUGCCGAGCGGCGAACGGGUGAGUAACGCGUAAGCAAUCUGCCCCAUAUCAGGAAAUACCCGUGCCAACGCGCGGUUAAUGUCCAGGAGAGUGGCUCCCUGCAUGGGGAGUUGACUAGAGAUUUAUCGGUAUGGGAUGAGCUUGCGUCCGAUUAGCUAGUUGGCGGGGCAACGGCCCACCAAGGCGACGAUCGGUAGCCGGCCUGAGAGGGUGAUCGGCCACAUUGGGACUGAGAUACGGCCCAGACUCCUACGGGAGGCAGCAGUAGGGAAUAUUGCACAAUGGGGGAAACCCUGAUGCAGCAACGCCACGUGUGGGAAGAAGCAUUUCGGUGUGUAAACCACUGUCAUGAGGGAAUAAGGCCCGCCUCCGGGCGGGAUUGAAUGUACCUUGAGAGGAAGCACCGGCAAACUUCGUGCCAGCAGCCGCGGUAAUACGAGGGGUGCAAGCGUUGUUCGGAAUUACUGAGCGUAAAGGGAGCGUAGGCGGAGAUUCAAGCGGAUUGUACAAUCCCGGGGCCCAACCCCGGCUCUGCAGUCCGAACUGGAUCUCUUGGAUAGUUCAGGGGCAGGCGGAAUUCCUGGUGUAGCGGUGGAAUGCGUAGAGAUCAGGAAGAACACCGAUGGCGAAGGCAGCCUGCUGGGGACUCAUCGACGCUGAGGCUCGAAAGUGCGGGUUGCAAACAGGAUUAGAUACC
rnacentral:rRNA from 1 species